rnacentral:lncRNA from 1 species
UGAGCGACUUAUUUCUUUUAAGGAUUUCAGCCUAUUCUUUUGAUGUAUCCAUUUGAAGAUUUGAGAUAGUCUAAGAUGCUUCAAAUGCGAUAUUGGUUCUCAGGCAUCAAGAGGCAUCAAGAGAAACAGAUGAAAAUUAUAUCUUACUUCGCUUCAACGCUAGGCUAGCAAAUGAUAUUUUGUCAUAAUUGAAUGUCACUUAUAGGCUGGAUGAGUCCCAAAACUCUCGAGAUCUUCACUAUGUUGCGCAGGUUAAGAAAUUGGAGAUUGGCGCAUUGGUCUUUAUUAGCGGUAUAGUCUGUGUCAAAAUUCUAAAAUUUGAACAGGCGAGAACCCGAAAUGGUAAUUCUCCUCCAUGGCUGCUAACAGAUUUUUCUAUCUAGAAAACAUGGUGGUAGAUAGAAUCACUUUAACCACUUCAAAGGACUUGGAAUAACGAGUUUCUACUAAAUGAGUACUCAUUUUUGUAUUGCCUAUAUAUGUACAAUACUGUACUGUAACUGGUAAAGUUGCUGCCAUGUAAGCAGAAGGUCACAGGUUCAAGCCUUGGUAGCUUUAGUGCACCGGGCUGCUCUCAUUUUUGUGUACCGUAACAAUUAAACACCUGAAAAUGGAGUUGGACAAGGUACUUUCUACAGAUAAAGAUAGCUUUAGUCUUUGCCAAUUAUGUGCAACGUAUAUUUCUUCUAGGAAGUAACCAGAGUCGUGGCACUCUACAUUUGUGGCCCGAUUCUUCCCAAGCCAUUUUCUAUUUUUCAAUUCAAUAGUUAGAUACUAAAAAAUAGUCUGGGAAGAAGAUCUUUCAACCAAAGUUUGGCUUUGGAGGUUCCAGAAAGAAGGAUCGUUCAAAGGUUUUCCCGGUACCACAGAUAGUGGAACUGCAAGGAAUUAGACCAUGCAAAUACAAGCUUGUUAAUUAACAUCCAGAAUAUAAGUUGGCAAUUGGGAGGAACUAAACCAGACAAUAAAAGUUGUUCAUUAUCAUUCAAAAGAAAUAGCUAAUUAUGCGUCUAGAUAAAUAAAUAGAAACAGAACUUUGACAGUAAUUCGCAGAACCUACUAAGAGACAGAACUGAUGAAGUCUUUUUUUUUUUUUUUUUUUAUAAUCGAAGAUAGAACUGAUGAUCUCAAGAUGCACUCUUGCUACCAGAAAGGCCAAUUACAGAACCAUUAUUGCAGAUGAGUCUAUCCAUGGAAACAAACUGAUGCAAAAGCCCAUAAUUGGUAUUGGCCAAACUUUAAACACCUUUUCAUUUAAAUGCCCCCUUUAAAUACAGAUAACUGAAAACUUCCCUUCUAGGAUUGCAUGUUCCUGAUAACUCUCAAAAUGAAUCUAGCACAUCAAUUAUAGAGAGAGUAUCAUUUGAGGAAUUCGGACAGUAUUGACAA